rnacentral:rRNA from 1 species
AUUGAACGCUGGCGGCAUGCCUUACACAUGCAAGUCGAACGGCAGCACGGGUGCUUGCACCUGGUGGCGAGUGGCGAACGGGUGAGUAAUACAUCGGAACAUGUCCUGUAGUGGGGGAUAGCCCGGCGAAAGCCGGAUUAAUACCGCAUACGAUCUACGGAUGAAAGCGGGGGAGCUUCGGGCCUCGCGCGAUAGGGUUUGCCGAUGGCUGAUUGGCUAGUUGGUGGGGUGAAGGCCUACCAAGGCGACGAUCGGUAGCUGGUCGGAGAGGACGACCAGCGACACUGGGACUGGGACACGGCCCAGACUCCUACGGGAGGCAGCAGUGGGGAAUUUUGGACAAUGGGCGAGAGCCUGAUCCAGCAAUGCCGCGUGUGUGAAGAAGGCCUUCGGGUUGUAAAGCACUUUUGUCCGGAAAGAAAUCCUUGGCCCUAAUACGGUCGGGGGAUGACGGUACCGGAAGAAUAAGCACCGGCUAACUACGUG